GGCUAGUCUGAUGGUAGUGGCUUAUUAGAACUUACUAACAUUAGUGUCACUAAAAUUGGUAUACAACUCCCCACUGCUAAAUUUGACUGGCUAAAA
ensembl:misc_RNA Y_RNA Y RNA